GAGGAAGGGAAGCAGGAAUUCAGGGACUGUUUCUUAAGCUCUCGGCGCAGUUCUAACCACGCUGCACAUACUGACUUCUUGUGAUAACCCUACUUUGUCACCCUCAACUUAAAGAUGAGGAAACAGGUGUCACAAGGAUAAGCCGCGGUGGAGCCACAAGUCAAACCCUGGCAGCUGGGUUCAGACUGCUCAUUCUACUGCCCGGUGUGGGAUUACUGACCUGGGAGAGUUGGAUUUGUCUGACUGUUAGGGUGUCAAGCCACCAACAAGGACCCUUAAUGUUUCUGUUCACUGCUUCAGAUAACUAUCUCAUUCACUGUCACGACAGCCAACACUUAACACACACCUGACGCUGACUACCGCUUGUUCAAUGACAGAGAUGUUCCUACAGUGCUGAGAAGAAACCUGCCCUGAAGGAUUAACCACGAGUCUGGAGGGUACACUGAUGAAGGCAGG
ensembl:lncRNA